UCAAAAUACAUGACACUUUUAUUUCUACAUUGCCGCAAUUCCGAAGCUUUGCGUUGCUCGGUUUUACAAACGGGAAGUGCAAGUUUAUGGAAGCUUGUCAAUCACUUCAUAUGAAUCAGUUAUCAACCAAUCAGAGCACUGCGUCCAAAUAUUGGACGCAUGCACCGAACUGAUCAAAGGGAUCCUUGCAGGCUCUCUUUCCCCAGAGAGCCUGCUCGCAGGCUAGAAUUGCGGCAAUGU
rnacentral:lncRNA from 1 species